ACUUAAAUAGCUUAAUUAGAGCAGGAUAUUGAAGAUGUCUCGGUGAUUUUUAUAAUCUUUAAGUA
rnacentral:tRNA from 1 species